UGGCGGACGGGUGGAGUAACGCGUGGGUAACCUGCCCCAUACAGGGGGAGUAACAGAUAGAAAUGUCUGCUAAUACCGCAUAAGACCACAGCACCGCAUGGUGCAGGGGUAAAAACUCCGGUGGUAUGGGAUGGACCCGCGUCUGAUUAGCUGGUUGGUGAGGUAACGGCUCACCAAGGCAACGAUCAGUAGCCGACCUGAGAGGGUGACCGGCCACAUUGGGACUGAGACACGGCCCAAACUCCUACGGGAGGCAGCAG
rnacentral:rRNA from 1 species